GACGAACGCUGGCGGCGUGCUUAACACAUGCAAGUCGAACGGAAAGGCCCUGCUGUUGUGGGGUGCUCGAGUGGCGAACGAGUGAGUAACACGUGAGUAACCUGCCCUUGACUUUGGGAUAACUUCAGGAAACUGGGGCUCAUACCCGAUAGGAGCUCCUGCUGCAUGGUGGGGGUUGGAAAGUUUCGGCGGUAGGGGAUGGACUGGCGGCUAAUGAGCUUGUUGGUGGAGUAGUGGAUGACCAAGGUUUUGACGGGUAGCCGGCAUUGGAAGGUGAACGGGCACCAGACGACUACGGGACGCCGCAGACGCGUACUGGAGGCAACGGGGGGAAGUAUGACACAGUGAGGGGGAGCGUGAUACGACGGCGCCGGGUGCGUAAUGACGGCCUUCGGGGUGUAAACCGCUUUCUCCUGAGACAGAGCGGGAGUGACGGUAAUGGAUAAAGAAGCACCGGCUAACUACGUG
rnacentral:rRNA from 1 species